AGAGUUUGAUCCUGGCUCAGGAUGAACGCUGGCGGCGUGCUUAACACAUGCAAGUCGAACGAACCUUCGGGUUAGUGGCGGACGGGUGAGUAACGCGUGAGAAUCUGCCCUCAGGAGGGGGAUAACGGCUGGAAACGGCCGCUAAUACCCCAUAUGCCGAGAGGUGAAAUGAAUUUCGCCUGAGGAUGAGCUCGCGUCUGAUUAGCUAGUUGGUGGGGUAAGAGCCCACCAAGGCUUCGAUCAGUAGCUGGUCUGAGAGGAUGAUCAGCCACACUGGGACUGAGACACGGCCCAGACUCCUACGGGAGGCAGCAGUGGGGAAUUUUCCGCAAUGGGCGAAAGCCUGACGGAGCAACGCCGCGUGAGGGAUGAAGGCCUCUGGGCUGUAAACCUCUUUUAUCAAGGAAGAAGAUCUGACGGUACUUGAUGAAUAAGCCACGGCUAAUUCCGUGCCAGCAGCCGCGGUAAUACGGGAGUGGCAAGCGUUAUCCGGAAUUAUUGGGCGUAAAGCGUCCGCAGGCGGCCUCGUAAGUCUGUCGUUAAAGCGUGGAGCUUAACUCCAUUUAAGCGAUGGAAACUGGAAGGCUAGAGUGUGGUAGGGGCAGAGGGAAUUCCCGGUGUAGCGGUGAAAUGCGUAGAUAUCGGGAAGAACACCAGUGGCGAAGGCGCUCUGCUGGGCCAUAACUGACGCUCAUGGACGAAAGCCAGGGGAGCGAAAGGGAUUAGAUACCCCUGUAGUCCUGGCCGUAAACGAUGAACACUAGGUGUCGGGGGAAUCGACCCCCUCGGUGUCGUAGCCAACGCGUUAAGUGUUCCGCCUGGGGAGUACGCACGCAAGUGUGAAACUCAAAGGAAUUGACGG
rnacentral:rRNA from 1 species